rnacentral:rRNA from 1 species
UACGUAGGGGGCUAGCGUUGUCCGGAAUCAUUGGGCGUAAAGCGCGCGUAGGCGGCCCUGUUAGUCCGCUGUAAAAGUCCAGGGCUCAACCCUGGAACGCCGGUGGAUACUGUCGGGCUAGAGUCCGGAAGAGGCGAGUGGAAUUCCUGGUGUAGCGGUGGAAUGCGCAGAUAUCAGGAGGAACACCGAUGGCGAAGGCAGCUCGCUGGGACGGUACUGACGCUGAGGCGCGAAAGCGUGGGGAGCGAACAGG